UGGGGUAUAUUGCACAAUGGGCGCAAGCCUGAUGCAGCCAUGCCGCGUGUAUGAAGAAGGCCUUCGGGUUGUAAAGUACUUUCAGCGGGGAGGAAGGGAGUACAGUUAAUACCUUUGCUCAUUGACGUUACCCGCAGAAGAAGCACCGGCUAACUCCGUGCCAGCAGCCGCGGUAAUACGGAGGGUGCAAGCGUUAAUCGGAAUUACUGGGCGUAAAGCGCACGCAGGCGGCUUGUUAAGUCAGAUGUGAAAUCCCCGGGCUCAACCUGGGAACUGCAUCUGAUACUGGCAAGCUUGAGUCUCGUAGAGGGGGGUAGGAUUCCAGGUGUAGCGGUGAAAUGCGUAGAGAUCUGGAGGAAUACCGGUGGCGAAGGCGGCCCCCUGGACGAAGACUGACGCUCAGGUGCGAAAGCGUGGGGAGCAAACAGG
rnacentral:rRNA from 1 species